ACUCCUACGGGAGGCAGCAGUGGGGAAUAUUGGACAAUGGGGGAAACCCUGAUCCAGCCAUGCCGCGUGUGUGAAGAAGGCCUUCGGGUUGUAAAGCACUUUCAGUGGGGAGGAAAGGUUGAUGGUUAAUACCUAUCAGCUGUGACGUUACCCACAGAAGAAGCACCGGCUAACUCCGUGCCAGCAGCCGCGGUAAUACGGAGGGUGCAAGCGUUAUCCGGAUUCACUGGGUUUAAAGGGUGCGUAGGCGGGCAUGUAAGUCAGUGGUGAAAUCCUGGAGCUUAACUCCAGAACUGCCAUUGAUACUAUAUGUCUUGAAUUUCCUGGAGGUUAGCGGAAUAUGUCAUGUAGCGGUGAAAUGCUUAGAUAUGACAUAGAACACCUAUUGCGAAGGCAGCUGACUACGGGUAGAUUGACGCUGAGGCACGAAAGCGUGGGGAUCAAACAGGAUUAGAUACCCUGGUAGGAUAGCGU
rnacentral:rRNA from 1 species